rfam:Cucumis melo, WGS project CAJI01000000 data, contig: 24238
UUGCGAUGAUGAAAUCUGCGCCAACUGUGAUCUGGGUCGAUCACAACCGUCCGAUCAUUUCCGACGAAAUCUUCGGUGCAUCUGAGCUU